CCUACGGGUGGCAGCAGUGGGGAAUAUUGGGCAAUGGGCGCAAGCCUGACCCAGCAACGCCGCGUGAAGGAAGAAGGCUUUCGGGUUGUAAACUUCUUUUCUCAGGGACGAAGCAAGUGACGGUACCUCAUGAAUACGUAACGGUUAACCACGUGCCAGCACCCGCGGUAAUACGUAGUCGGCAAGCAUUAGCCGGAUUUACUGGGUGUAAAGGGGGCGCAGACUGAAAUGAAAGCCAGGAGUGAAAGCCCGGGGCGCAACGCCGGAACUGCCCUUGAAACUGCAUAGCUAGAGUACAGGAGAGGCAGGCAGAAUUCCAAGUGUAGCGGUGAAAUGCGUAGAUAUUAGGAGGAACACCGGUGGCGAAGGCGGCCUGCUGGACUGUGACUGACGUUGAGGCCCGAAGGCGUGGGGAGCAAACAGGAUUAGAUACCCGAGUAGUC
rnacentral:rRNA from 1 species